AUCCCUGACAGCCAUCAGUUGUUGAAAAUAUGACAAUGGUCCUCAGGCUAAUCCAAGGCCACAUUUGAGAUGGUAGCCUGAGAAAAAUAGCCAGCGGUUCUAUCUUACCACUUUGUAUGUCAUCGAUGUAGAAACUCAAAAGACGCAUGUGUCUCUCCAAGUAAUGGGUCGAGGUUCUGUACACAGAGGAGUGUUUACAUUUAGCCUGUGCCUUCAGUGAUGCUGCAUUUCCCUGGCUUCCUGUUCAAGCUAUGCUGCCCACAGAACAUACAUGUCCAAGUCUCCUAGACUGUGCAGAAAUAGAAGACCCUUGGCUUUGAGUGUGUGCAAUGCUCUAGAACUUGUUGCCAUUUUUUCCAAGUGGCUUUGGACCCGGUUUGAGAGGCAAGCUCUGAUUAUGACCCAGCUGUGAUAAAUGUUAAUUCCAGUUCACAUAUGUGACAACGUUUACCUGGCAAAAACAGAUCUUUCCUUCCACUCAGAUCUCUGGUUCUCCAACUCAUGUGUUCAGUGUUAGCAAUUGGAUUUUUAGAGGAAUUUUCUUUGGACUAAGUUUUGGAAUAAAACACUCAGACAAGUUGGGAAGGAAAGAUGUGUACAUAGAAAGUCUAGGAAUUCCAUCCCCUUGGGCUCUUGGCCACUUAACAGGGAAAUAUCUGAAUGAAGCAGGGCAAGAGCUGUCUUUUGAGUGUGUAGAAUUGUGUACUCCUGAAGACACCAGCUUAGAUGCCUACCCUGUACCCUAGGAGAAUGUUCCACUGGUAAAGUGCUUGUCUUGUAAGUUUGAAGACCUGGGCUCAUUCCAUGUAGAGCCAAAGUUCUGGAGCCGAAAGACAGGGACAACCUGGGUCCUGCUAACUAGCCAGCCUAGCCUAUGUCUCAAAGUCCAAAGCGACACCGUACCUCAAAAUACAAGGUGAGGCCAUAGAAAUGGCUCAAUGGGUAAGAGUGCUUGCUACCAAGCAUUGUGAUCUAAAUUCAUCCUCAGAACCCACAUGAUAGGAAAACCCUAUCAUGCAAGCAGUCUUUCACACAUGUAGAGUGGCACUUGUUUCUCUCUCUCUCUCUCUCUCUCUCUCUCUCUCUCACACACACACACACACACACACACACACACACACACACACUCACCAUCUAAAGUAACCAUUUAAAGACUUGAGGUUCUGAGUUUGUGUGUCCCAGUCAACAAAAAGGACUGCAUGUUAGGGACACAGAAAUGAGACUAGUGCCUGCUUUUAAAAAGUAUCAAAAUCCUGAGGACAAAUGGUAGGCAGCCACACAAAGAGGCACGAGUGAGAAUCAGAAGAACAAAGCCAGCGAGAGCCCCAGAUGAUCUAAGGUGCAAAGCUGGCCAGCAGUGUCUCCUUCCAUGUCUUUUCAACAUACCUACCUGUAGUGGAAAGCCUGUCAGGGCCAUGUUGGUGCUUAUAACCCUGAAUCUUCAGUUUUACAUUUAUCCUUUGACAUUUGCAAUAUCCUAGUGCGUUUGCAAUAUGUAUCCUCUGCUGUGGUUCAGAGUGCUGUCCCAGAAAUUUCAUCGGGCAUAAGAAGUCUCCUGUUAAAGGGCUUCUCAGUGAGUUGCACAAUUUGCGGAGGUUUUAACUUUUCCUUCUGGCCUCAGAAGAGAUGAGGAAUGCAGGACAUCAGGUGCUCUGAUGGCUUAUUUGUUAAACAAAUAUUUAUUGAGCAACUUGUAUCUACUUGACAUUGGUUAGGAGACCAAGCAGACGGAUACAAUGUUAGGGGCUCUACCUUCCUAGAGUUCACCUUCUGCAGGAGGCAGACAGACACAAUGUUGGGGGAGCAGACAGAAGGAUACAAUGUUGGGGGCAGGCAGAAGCAUACAAUGUUGGAGGACAGGCAGAAGGAUACAAUGUUGGGGGACUCCACCUUUGUAGAGUUCACCUUCUGGGGGGAAAGGCAUGAAGUGAAGAAGAAGCUGUCAGAGUUACAGGAAAUAAAAGAAUCAAGCAGUGCAUUGCAGGAGGAGGAAGUGUGUACCCCCGAAGGCUGAGGAGGAGGGGGUACCAGGCAGACCUGUAACAGGGGACAGGCCCCCUAGGCAAGGGUCUGGCAAGUUCAAACACAGGAUGAUUCAGAAGACACCCUGAAGAUCAAAAGGAAGAAUAGCAGCAGUUGAGACUGGAGGAGGCCCAACACAAUGUGGGGCUUUGGGGACAAUGGAGAGCCACUGUGAGUUAUGAAUAUUGGGGUUCCCAGUGAGAGCCACUCUCAGCCACCAUCUGCUCUGACCUCAUCAGCACCAGCUUCUCUGCAAAGUCAAAACAAGUGUUCAGAGAGCAUCAGCUUUUAUUUCUACAGUAAUCUUUGUACCCAACCACCAUAGCGUUUUUAAUAACAAACUGGCAGAGAGUCAGACAUCUGUACUUGAAAAAAAAAAGCCAGGCCAAGUAUUUCUAAAUGUUUUAUAUUUACUUGUAACGUUAGAAUAACCACGAGGUUGCUUUCUAAAUAAUCGGAACCAUUCUCAUUAGGGUCCCACAGACCUCGUCCUUCGUGGGUUUGGGUGGUGGUUUUCAUUAUGGCAGUGACAUUGAUCUGACGGGAGUGAAUCUCUCCUUGAACAUUUGUGGAAAAAAAAUGGGGAAGAAGUUGAGAGGAGCCAAAGCAAGCUAGGAAAAUGAGAACUCAGGAAAGAUAACCAUCAGCUUGGCACUGGGGUAGCAUCGAAGGGGUCCAGGCUUUGAAGUCCAACAAAGCUGGGCUGGCAGUGGAGUUCAGCGAGGCAACCUUAGGGGAGUCACUUGACAUCUCUGAGCUUCAGGUCACUCCCUGGCCCUAGUUUGUGCAAUUGUGCUGAGGGCCAAGAAGGGUAUCACCAGCGAAGGGUCUGAGCCAAUUUUGCUCCCUGAUUGCAACCUCCAAAAUUACUGUCUCCACUAAGUUGUACUUGAAGUUUGUCUGCAAGUUCUAAUAGAUAAAAUACAAGAUUCCCAGUUAACCUUAAAUUUUGGAUUGUAGCCAGCAAUUAGUGUAAUCCGUUCCUAUUUGGUAUAUUGCUUAGAAUAUACUUGGAGUCGUAAAAAUAUGUACGCACACCUAUCAAAAAUUUAAACUUGACUGGGUGCUUUGUCUGGAGACCUUUUUUCUAAAAGUUUAAUUAUCAAAAGAACAUCUAUCUGGAGUGGCUUUUGAGAGCUGGCCCAGGCCAGCCAUGAGCCAGGCCCCUGUGUCAGGAACACUUUAAAGCACAGACUCCAUUUGUAGAACAGACCUGACUUUGAGUAGAGGCUCUGGCAAGACGGAGCCGGAAAGCAGCUAAAGAGCUUGCGGCAAUCCCAUUUGGUCUGCUCUGUAGACACACCACACAGAGGCAAAUAACCAAAGAACCUCAACCUAGUCAGAUUGCUCCAGAAUAAACCAGGUUUAUCUAUUCAGAAUCCAGGUUUAUCUAGCAUCCUCUGUGGCCAAUGGGAAGCCAGGUCUGUGAGCCCGGGCUGUGAAUCUUUCUAAAUAACACAAACUGCAGGGUUAUAUACCACCUACUUAUUUUAUGCCUUGUCAGAAAAGGAGGUUAAACUCCCUAAACCUUCCUCCCGGCCCAUGGAUGCCAUGAUGGCGAAGUUGGGAGUUAUGCAUGGCUUGGCACACACUGAGGGAAACCGCUGAGGAAGGGAGGGGAAGUCAGGCCUGGUCCCUGAUCACAUCCCUGCAAGCUUCGAGAGACUCCCGAGGACGUCCCAGGAGACUUAGGCUGGGCUUAUAAAGAAGGAUCUUGACAUCAAGAAGAGCAGCCAGCCAGUAAAUUCCUACUUACUUCAUUUUCUAAGGCUUCUGAAUGUGUUUUGAAUUUUCUCUAAAUUAAGAUAAUCAUGAAAGGUUAAGAUAUUUCAACAGAGUGCCACCUGAUCCGAGGGCUUGAAUUGUAUGCCUAAUUAGUUCCUGUGCAUACGGCUCAGAAUGUCUUAUAAAAACAGGGUAAUGACUUGAGGUAUAUUUGGGUAUUAGAUGGGGCAAUGUUAAAGGAACAUUCAAACCCAUCUCAAAGCCUUGAACCUGCCCUUGAUCUGGGCUGGGAGCUUUGGCUGACAUCUGUUUCAAGGAGAUACAAAAGAAAGAGAAAAGGUAAAAAAGGAAGAAAGAAAGAAAGAGAGAAAGGAAGAAAGAAAGAAAGAAAGAAAGGAAGGAAGGAAGAAAGAGAAGGAAGGAAUCAAAGGAAAACAAUGGCUUUACAAACUCGUACCCAGAUAGACAUCCGGCAUUAAAAUACUUCAAAUUCAGCACAACUGGAGGAACGUGUGGUCUGGGAAUAGGAGUUGGGGACAGUGAAGAGGAACUUAUGUCAGGAUACACAGAUACCCUUAGAACUGCUGGAGAAAUAGGCCUUACUGUGUCCAGGGAGGGAUCGAAUAGGUCAUAAAUGUCCCAGUGACUUUCGUUCCUGUCUUGUGCUUCAGUUCCCAGCACCCCAUCAUGUAUACCUGUGUGGAACCUGAUCCGUGUCAGAGACACUCCUCCUACAACCCUGCUCCCAUGGGAUCCCAACUGCCAUACUCCACUCUGGGAAGGUACUUUCUGAGACUCCCCAGGAGGAGUGCCGUGCUACAUGAACAUCCCUAGGCCCCUCCCUAGCUGCCUUCUCCAUUUUUGCAGCCAAACUCCUCUUCUCUAGGUGCUCUACGUCUACUCUGUAAUAUUGGCCGCAUGUUGAAAAUGGCUGCCCGGGACUGGGGAUUUAGCUCAGUUGGUAGAGUGCUUAGCCUGCACCAAACCCUGGGUUCACUCCUCAGCACGAGGCACUCACAUAGACCUGCUGUGGUGGCAUAUGCCUAUAAUCCCAGAACUCAGGAGGUAGUUACAAGAGGAUCAUGAGUUCAGGGUCAUGCUUGGUUGUAUAGAAAUUAUAUGUUUUAGGCUAGCUUGGGCUACAUAAGGUCCUGUCACAACAAACAAACAAACAAACAAACAAACAAACAGAAAACCCAAGAGAAUAAGCAAUUGACAAAAAGAAAAGGAGGAAAGAAAUUGUGGAGGAAGGAGGGAUGGUGGAGGGAGAGAGAGAAAGAGAGAGAGAGAGAGAGAAAAUCAGCUAUUUACCAACUCAGAUCUUUAAAGAGAUCUCAGAGGCCUCUGCCUGUCCCUUUACACCUAUACUGCCUCAGGCCAUUCAUUCAUCUACUCCUUCUGUCCUUUGGCUAAGGGUCUCCUCAGCACCUGUUGGCUGGGUUUAUGAUCCACGGAAUACUGAACAGCUCCAGUGAGAGAGGAGUUUGAGGGCAGACCCCGGAAGGGGCAUCUGAGAGAUGGGAUACAUCAUACAUCACGACACAGUAAAUAUAAGAGGAAAAUGACUCUUCCAGAAGAGUCAACAGGGAAGCUUCUCCACACACACACAGUAUGUGCCAAGCUCUGAAUGGAAUACUGAUUAAGACAAUGGUGACUCAGGGUGACAAGGCCCUCCAGGAGAAUGAAAGAUAUGAACCAAACGCCGAAGAAAGGAAGCCACGGUGUGUGGUCCAAAAAUAACAAGUGGCUGUACAGCGUCCAACCAUCUACAGCUCACCUGCUCAUCUGGCCCUCGAGCAUUCCUGUCAGAUGAAGGUGUAGAGGCUGACUCAAAAAGACAAAGAUCCUGUCUUCAUGGGACCCAGCAAGGCUGCCUUGAAAGAAAUGCUCACAGGUCACCGUAAAACUCAAGGGAAGGACAAAAGAGACUGCAACGUGAGAUCAGCAUCUCAUUACUAAGCUGUGGUACAGAGCUCCCCAAUGUCCCCUUCAUGGUCUAGUGCUGCACAGCAUCAAUCAUAUCUCAGGCAAUGAACACCAUUCAUAUUUACUGCUGCACUGUUCAUAAUAGUUGAGAUCUGGGGCUAGCCCAGGGGUUCAUUACCAGAUGAAAGGAGAAAGAAAAUGCAGAAUGUUUGCAUGAUGACUGUAC
ensembl:lncRNA